ACGAAAGAACAAGUGACUCUCACAAGUUCUUACUCAGCUAACACCCAAGAAGAGUGUUUCUCAGUGUGUGGCGGAGCGCGCGACCGUGUUCGGAUAGAUGGGUGAAGAAUUGAAGCUGUUGGGUGUGUGGGGGAGCCCGUACAGCCGGCGAGUUGAGAUAGCUCUGAAGCUCAAGGGGGUCAAGUAUGAGUACUCGGAGGAGGACAUAUUCCACAACAAGAGCGCCUCGCUUCUCAAGUACAAUCCCGUGCACAAGAAGGUGCCCGUGCUCGUCCACAACGGCAAACCCAUCGUGGAGUCUCAGGUGAUUCUCGAGUACAUCGACGAGACAUGGAAGGACAACCCGAUAUUGCCCCGAGAUCCGUACGAGAGAGCGAUGGCCCGUUUCUGGGCUAAGUUCGUGGAUGAAAAGUGCGCGCCAGCUCUCUGGAAAUCUUUAAUGGGCGCAGGGCCUGAAAGGGAGAAGGCACAUGAGGAAGCACAUGAGCUGUUGAACACUCUCGAAGGCGAGCUCAAGGGCAAGAAGUUCUUCGGAGGCGAGAGUGUCGGGUUUGUCGACAUCAUGGCCAACUUUGUCGGGUACUGGGUCGGAGUCCUCGAAGAGGCAGUCGGGGUCGAUGUCCUAACCGAGGACAAGUUCCCCGUGCUGUGCAAGUGGGCGGAAGAGUUUCGAAACUGCCCGGUCAUCAAGGAGAAUCUGCCUCCAAGGGACAGGAUGGUGGCCUACUUCAGGGAUCAACGCGAGACGAUAACUACCUUUUAUAAGAACAAAGCGUGAGUUUUGGGUCGUCCUUCGGUCGUGGUUUGCUUGGGGUCUCUGUGUCCGUGUUCUGGCUUUUUGGUGGUAAUGUAAUAAAGCUGAUUCGAGUGGUAUGUUGUGGGAGUCUAUGGCAUCUCCAUAGUAAUGGUCCGUGAUAAUGAACAGACCAUGGUAUAAUUAAGCGUCAAUUUGCUAUGA